AGCUGGGGCCAUGAAGGACAGAGCAUCUGCAGAAGCUGUCAAGAAUUGAUGUGCUUUUGCCUCAAGUCAGAGUCUCCCGCUGGGUAUUUGUGUCCCAUGCUGCACUUGGGCCAACCAUCUUUCAAACUGCUCCAUGUCAGAUUAAGUGGAAAGGAGACCACAGCCAGCACAUGAGAGGCAGUCUGGCUGGGCAAGUGAGUAAAAGGAAGACAUGUUUGAGUGACGAGAUCAGCGAGGUGUCAUAGCAGCCCAGAUGGAUGAUUAGGCAAGAAAAUAGUAAAACAAAGGGAACAAGUAGAAAGUAAAACAAAGGCACAUCUGUCUUCAAAAAUAUGAAA